UUAACUAUUAGAUAGUACUCAGACGACACUAACAUUCAGAGUUUGGGUUUCCUCUGGCAGGCGCGAUCCAGCCGGAGCCGGUGCCCGAGGGCGGCCUGCCAAAGCAACAAAGAUAUAAUAUACAAGGGUGGGCGUUUCUACCCGUGAGGGCAGGGAACACUGUAAUGAUCCUUCCGCAGGUUCACCUACGGAAA
rnacentral:misc_RNA from 1 species